AUUGAACGCUGGCGGCAGGCUUAACACAUGCAAGUCGAGCGGAGAUGAGGUGCUUGCACCUUAUCUUAGCGACGGACGGGUGAGUAAUGCUUAGGAAUCUGCCUAUUAGUGGGGGACAACAUUCCGAAAGGAAUGCUAAUACCGCAUACGUCCUACGGGAGAAAGCAGGGGAUCUUCGGACCUUGCGCUAAUAGAUGAGCCUAAGUCGGAUUAGCUAGUUGGUGGGGUAAAGGCCUACCAAGGCGACGAUCUGUAGCGGGUCUGAGAGGAUGAUCCGCCACACGGGGACUGAGACACGGCCCAGACUCCUACGGGAGGCAGCAGGGGGGAAUAUUGGACAAUGGGGGGAACCCUGAUCCAGCCAUGCCGCGUGUGUGAAGAAGGCCUUAUGGUUGUAAAGCACUUUAAGCGAGGAGGAGGCUACUGAGACUAAUACUCUUGGAUAGUGGACGUUACUCGCAGAAUAAGCACCGGCUAACUCUGUGCCAGCAGCCGCCGUAA
rnacentral:rRNA from 1 species